rnacentral:rRNA from 1 species
AUUGAACGCUGGCGGCAGGCUUAACACAUGCAAGUCGAACGAGUGGCGGACGGGUGCGUACUGCUUGGGAAUCUCGCUUAUGUAGGGGGCUAACUACGGUAAAAUGUAGCUAAUACCGCGUACCAUAGGAUGAGCCCAAGGGGGAUUAGGUAGUUGGUGAGGUAAAGGCUCACCAAGCCGACGAUCUCUAGCCGGUCUGAGAGGAUGACCCGCCAAACUGGGACUGAGACAGGGCCCAGACUCCGAUGGGAGGCAGCAGGGGGGAAUAUUGCGCAAUGGGGGAAACCUGACCGAGCCAUGCCGCGUGAAUGACGAAGGCCUUCGGGUUGUAAAGUUCUUUCGGUAGCGAGGCGUUAACUACAGAAGAAGCACCGGCUAACUCCGUGCCAGCCGCCGCGGUAAUAC